AUUGAACGCUGGCGGCAUGCCUUACACAUGCAAGUCGAACGGUAACAGGUUAAGCUGACGAGUGGCGAACGGGUGAGUAAUGUAUCGGAACGUGCCCAGUCGUGGGGGAUAACUGCUCGAGAGAGCAGCUAAUACCGCAUACGACCUGAGGGUGAAAACGGGGGAUCGCAAGACCUCGCGCGAUUGGAGCGGCCGAGAUCAGAUUAGGUAGUUGGUGGGGUAAAAGCCCACCAAGCCGACGAUCUGUAGCUGGUCUGAGAGGACGACCAGCCACACUGGGACUGAGACACGGCCCAGACUCCUACGGGAGGCAGCAGUGGGGAAUUUUGGACAAUGGGCGCAAGCCUGAUCCAGCCAUGCCGCGUGCGGGAAGAAGGCCUUCGGGUUGUAAACCGCUUUUGUCAGGGAAGAAAAGGUUCUGGUUAAUACCUGGGACUCAUGACGGUACCUGAAGAAUAAGCACCGGCUAACUACGUGCCAGCCGCCGCGGUAAAAC
rnacentral:rRNA from 1 species